CAAGUCGAGCGAGGUUACUUUUGGUAGCAAUACUAGAAGUAACUUAGCGGCGUAACGGGUGCGUAACACGUGGACAAUCUGCCAUAAAGUGGGGGAUAGCUCGGCGAAAGCCGAAUUAAUACCGCAUGUGAUCAGAGGGGACAUCCCUUCGAAAUCAAAGCCGGGGCAACCUGGCGCUUUUUGUGGAGUCCGCGGCCUAUCAGCUUGUUGGUGAGGUAACGGCUCACCAAGGCUUUGACGGGUAGCUGGUCUGAGAGGACGACCAGCCACACUGGAACUGAGACACGGUCCAGACACCUACGGGUGGCAGCAGUCGAGAAUUUUUCUCAAUGGGGGAAACCCUGAAGGAGCGACGCCGCGUGGAGGAUGAAGGUCUUCGGGUUGUAAACUCCUGUCAUUUGGGAACAAGUCGUACGUAGUAACUAUACGUGCGUUGAUAGUACCAGAAGAGGAAGAGACGGCUAACUCUGUGCCAGCAGCCGCGGUAAUACAGAGGUCUCAAGCGUUGUUCGGAUUCAUUGGGCGUAAAGGGUGCGUAGGUGGCGUCGUAAGUCGGGUGUGAAAUUUCGGAGCUUAACUCCGAAACUGCAUUCGAUACUGCGGUGCUUGAGGACUGGAGAGGAGACUGGAAUUUACGGUGUAGCAGUGAAAUGCGUAGAGAUCGUAAGGAAGACCAGUGGCGAAGGCGGGUCUCUGGACAGUUCCUGACACUGAGGCACGAAGGCCAGGGGAGCAAACGGGAUUAGAUACCCCGGUAGUCCUGGCAGUAAACGGUGCACGUUUGGUGUGGGGGGGAUUCGACCCCUUCUGCGCCGGAGCUAACGCGUUAAACGUGCCGCCUGGGGGAGUACGGUCGC
rnacentral:rRNA from 1 species